ensembl:lncRNA
CCUACUGGUGUUCUCUGUGCGGGGGUAGGCUACUGGUGUUCUCUGUGCGGAAGUAGGCUACUGGUGUUCUGUGUGCGGAAGUAGGCUACUGGUGUUCUCUGUGUGGGGGUAGGCUACUGGUGUUCUGUGUGCAGAAGUAGGCUACUGGUGUUCUGUGUGCGGAAGUAGGCUAAUGGUGUUCUCUGUGUGGGUAGGCUACUGGUGUUCUCUGUGUCGGGGUAGGCUACUGGUGUUCUCUGAGCGGGAGUAGGCUACUGGAGUUCUCUGUGAGAGGGUAGGCUACUGGUGUUCUGUGUGAGGGGUAGGGGGUAGGUUACUGUUGUUCUCUGUGUGAGGGUAGGCUAAUGGUGUUCUCUGAGCGGGGAUAGGCUACUGGUGUUCUCUGUGAGGGGAUAGGCUACUGGUGUUCUCUGUGUGAGGGUAGGCUACUGGUGUUCUCUGUGUGGGGGUAGGCUAAUGGUGUUCUCUGAGCAGGGGUAGGCUACUGGUGUUCUCUGUGCGGGGGUAGACUACAGGUGUUCUCUGUGUGGGGGUAGGCUACUGGUGUUCUCUGUGAGGGGAUAGGCUACUGGUGUUCUCUGUGAGGGGAUAGGCUACUGGUGUUCUCUGUGUGGGGGUAGGCUACUGGUGUUCUCUGUGUGGGGAUAGGCUACUGGUGUUCUCUGUGAGGGGAUAGGCUACUGGUGUUCUCUGUGAGGGGAUAGGCUACUGGUGUUCUCUGUGAGGGGAUAGGCUACUGGUGUUCUCUGUGAGGGUAAGCUACUGGUGUUCUCUGUGCGGGGGUAGGCUACAGGUGUUCUCUGUGCGGGGGUAGGCUACAGGUGUUCUCUGUGUGGGGGUAGGCUACUGGUGUUCUCUGUGUGAGGGUAGGCUACUGGUGUUCUCUGUGAGGGGAUAGGCUACUGGUGUUCUCUGUGAGGGGAUAGGCUACUGGUGUUCUCUGUGAGGGUAGGCUACUGGUGUUCUCUGUGUGAGGGUAGGCUACAGGUGUUCUCUGUGUGGGGAUAUGCUACUGGUGUUCUCUGUGUGAGGGUAGGCUACUGGUGAGGGG